rnacentral:rRNA from 1 species
GUGGGGAAUCUUGCGCAAUGGGGGAAACCCUGACGCAGCAACGCCGCGUGGGUGAUGAAGGCCUUCGGGUCGUAAAGCCCUGUCAGGUGGGAAGAAUCAUAUCGAUUCGAACAGGGUCGAUAUCUGACGGUACCACCGGAGGAAGCACCGGCUAACUCCGUGCCAGCAGCCGCGGUAAUACGGAGGGUGCAAGCGUUGUUCGGAAUUACUGGGCGUAAAGCGCGUGUAGGCGGUCGAGCAAGUCAGAUGUGAAAGCCUUCCGCUUAACGGAAGAAGUGCAUUUGAAACUACUCGGCUGGAGUACGGGAGAGGAGAGUGGAAUUCCCGGUGUAGAGGUGAAAUUCGUAGAUAUCGGGAGGAACACCAGUGGCGAAAGCGGCUCUCUGGUCCGAUACUGACGCUGAUACGCGAAAGCGUGGGGAGCAAACAGGAUUAGAAACCCGAGUAGUCC